rnacentral:lncRNA from 1 species
UGUCUCUACUAAAAAUACAAAAAUUAGCCGGGCGUGGUGGUGUGCACUUGUAGUCCCAGCUACUCAGGAGGCUGAGGGCAAAAGAAUCGCUUGAACCCGGGAGGCGGAGGUUGCAGUGAGCCGAGCCGAGAUCAUGCCACUGCACUCCAGCCUGGGUGACAGAGUGAGACUCAGUCUCCAAAAAAAAAAAAAAAAAAAGGUGGUUAAAAAUGGCUGCUCUGGGGACUGGAGGGAGUUGGGAGGAUGAGACACCAUCCUGCAAAUCAGGCCUGGAUGAGAUGGGGCUGCAGGGCUUUCUGACAGGCACAUCUGACCUCAUUCUGCCCCUGCUCACACAGCCUCUGUGGCUCCCUAUUGCCAUCAGGGGAGAGUCCCAGCUCCCCUGCUCCACUGGAUUGAGUAGUGUCUGGCAAGAAUUCAUGUCUGAGAAUUCAUAUUCAUAUUCUGAGAAUUCAUAUUCUGAGAAUUCACCUCAGAAUAUGGGCUUAUUUGGAAAUAGGGUCUUUAUAGACAGACAUGAGGUUAUCAUGGAUUAGGGUGGACCCUAAAUCCGAUGACUGGGCCAGGCACGUGGCUCAUGCCUGUAAUCUCAACACUUUGGGAGGCCGAGGUGGGCGGAUCACCUGAGUUCAGGAGUUCAAGACCAGCCUGGCCAACAUGGUGAAACCCCGUCUCUACUAAAAAUGCAAAAAUUAGCUGGGUGUGGUGGCGGGUGCCUGUAAUCCCAGCUACUUAGGAGGCUGAAGUGGGAGGAUCACUUCAGCCCAGGAGUUGGAGGCUGCAGUAAGCUAUGAUUGUGCCACUGCACUCCAGCCUGGGUGACAGAGUGAGACCCUGCCUCA